CUGCUGCCUCCCGUAGGAGUCUGGUCCGUGUCUCAGUACCAGUGUGGGGGACCUUCCUCUCAGAACCCCUACGCAUCGUCGCCUCGGUGGGCCGUUACCCCGCCGACUAGCUAAUGCGCCGCAUGCCCAUCCCCCGCCGGAAUCGCUUCCUUUGGCCGCAGACCCAUGCAGGUCCGCGGCGUUACGCGAUAUUAGUCGGGAUUUCUCCCGGUUAUCCCCCUGCGGGGGGCAGGUCGCAUACGUGUUACUCACCCGUGCGCCGGUCGCCGG
rnacentral:rRNA from 1 species